rnacentral:rRNA from 1 species
CAGUAGCCGCGGUAAUACGAAGGGGGCUAGCGUUGCUCGGAAUCACUGGGCGUAAAGGGCUCGCAGGCGGUUUCUUAAGUCUGAUGUGAAAGCCCCCGGCUCAACCGGGGAGGGUCAUUGGAAACUGGGAAACUUGAGUGCAGAAGAGGAGAGUGGAAUUCCACGUGUAGCGGUGAAAUGCGUAGAGAUGUGGAGGAACACCAGUGGCGAAGGCGACUCUCUGGUCUGUAACUGACGCUGAGGAGCGAAAGCGUGGGGAGCGAACAGGAUUAGAUACCCGUGUAGUCCCUGUCUCUUAUAC